GACGCAGAAAGUUCUUUUUUGCUGUUUAGCUUUGCAUGGAUAUGGAUGUUCUUGGGUUUCUAACUUUUCUCUGUCUUCUUUGUUUUAUAGAUUGAGUGUGAGCCAAGCAUAUUUGAUGCCUGAAUUUGGAGCGAACACUUUAACUAAUAAACAGUGAUGAGUAUCUAGAUCUUAUAUUCUUAUCACAACUAUUGUCACCAAGAGAAUUGCUAGAGUUACAAAUUGUCGUGUGCAUGCUCGAGGAGUGGCCGUUAAGUCAAGUGAGUGGUUUUUGUUAUUGAUUGCUCUAAACCAGCUGAUGAUACGAACAUGGAUUUCUCCACGCUUGAGAAGUUUCUUCAGGAACAAAUCAAAGUCGGCGCCAAGCCGGAACUCUUAGUGACACCGUUUCCAUUAUGCGAGAGAGACAAAGGCAAGAUCACCGUUAUCGUCAUCACCGCUCCCAACCUCUCCAAAUGGUACAUCACGAUUUUCAUUUUGAGGAACUUCCAAGUAUCUGACCAGAUAUAUUUGAGAAAGUACAAUCUCCGUGAUUGGCUUUGCGUGAUUGCGUUGAACAACGACAAGGACCGUUUUCUUCCAGUGCCAAGGAAUAAAUGCUUGGCGUUCUUCCUCUGUUUACUUAAAAGAAUAGGUCGGAUCUGUUUAAGAAGUUGCAGAAGAAAAAAGCAUUUUCCAUGAUGUAUAAAGAGAGAAGAGCAGCAACUACUAGCUUAAUCUCCAUGUAUUGUCAAACGGACUGUAAAAAAGACGUUUGCUUGGUUCCGUAAGCAGAUGUUAGUCUCAGGUUCCGCCCUGCAGGGAUUGAUAUAGUAACCGGUUGGGGUAGACAUUUUAGAGUUACUGCUACAGCAAUUGUGAGACAAACCGUUGAAGAGCUGCUCUACAUCUUUGGCUCAGCGUUUUUCAUGGAGAUUGAAAACUCAGAUUGUUUAGUUGUAUGUGGUGAGUCUCUGAUUGCUUUAGUCUAACGUUGAUAGGAUGCAUUUGCUGUGAGUUUUGUUUGUUUCUCAUUUUUUACUUUUUACAAAGUAUUACCUACUACCCAGUGUUGUACCUGAAGCUCUUUAUUAGUCUUCACAAGCCA